rnacentral:rRNA from 1 species
UACGUAGGUGGCGAGCGUUAUCCGGAAUUAUUGGGCGUAAAGAGCGCGCAGGUGGUUGAUUAAGUCUGAUGUGAAAGCCCACGGCUUAACCGUGGAGGGUCAUUGGAAACUGGUCGACUUGAGUGCAGAAGAGGGAAGUGGAAUUCCAUGUGUAGCGGUGAAAUGCGUAGAGAUAUGGAGGAACACCAGUGGCGAAGGCGGCUUCAUGGUCUGUAACUGACACUGAGGCGCGAAAGCGUGGGGAGCAAACAGGAUUAGA